GAUGAACGCUGGCGGCGUGCCUAAUACAUGCAAGUCGAGCGAACGGACGAGAAGCUUGCUUCUCUGAUGUUAGCGGCGGACGGGUGAGUAACACGUGGAUAACCUACCUAUAAGACUGGGAUAACUUCGGGAAACCGGAGCUAAUACCGGAUAAUAUUUUGAACCGCAUGGUUCAAAAGUGAAAGACGGUCUUGCUGUCACUUAUAGAUGGAUCCGCGCUGCAUUAGCUAGUUGGUAAGGUAACGGCUUACCAAGGCAACGAUGCAUAGCCGACCUGAGAGGGUGAUCGGCCACACUGGAACUGAGACACGGUCCAGACUCCUACGGGAGGCAGCAGUAGGGAAUCUUCUGCAAUGGGCGAAAGCCUGACGGAGCAACGCCGCGUGAGUGAUGAAGGUCUUCGGAUCGUAAAACUCUGUUAUUAGGGAAGAACAUAUGUGUAAGUAACUGUGCACAUCUUGACGGUACCUAAUCAGAAAGCCACGGCUAACUACGUGCCAGCAGCCGCGGUAAUACGUAGGUGGCAAGCGUUAUCCGGAAUUAUUGGGCGUAAAGCGCGCGUAGGCGGUUUUUUAAGUCUGAUGUGAAAGCCCACGGCUCAACCGUGGAGGGUCAUUGGAAACUGGAAAACUUGAGUGCAGAAGAGGAAAGUGGAAUUCCAUGUGUAGCGGUGAAAUGCGCAGAGAUAUGGAGGAACACCAGUGGCGAAGGCGACUUUCUGGUCUGUAACUGACGCUGAUGUGCGAAAGCGUGGGGAUCAAACAGGAUUAGAUACCCUGGUAGUCCACGCCGUAAACGAUGAGUGCUAAGUGUUAGGGGGUUUCCGCCCCUUAGUGCUGCAGCUAACGCAUUAAGCACUCCGCCUGGGGAGUACGACCGCAAGGUUGAAACUCAAAGGAAUUGACGGGGACCCGCACAAGCGGUGGAGCAUGUGGUUUAAUUCGAAGCAACGCGAAGAACCUUACCAAAUCUUGACAUCCUUUGACAACUCUAGAGAUAGAGCCUUCCCCUUCGGGGGGGCAAAGUGACAGGUGGUGCAUGGUUGUCGUCAGCUCGUGUCGUGAGAUGUUGGGUUAAGUCCCGCAACGAGCGCAACCCUUAAGCUUAGUUGCCAUCAUUAAGUUGGGCACUCUAAGUUGACUGCCGGUGACAAACCGGAGGAAGGUGGGGAUGACGUCAAAUCAUCAUGCCCCUUAUGAUUUGGGCUACACACGUGCUACAAUGGACAAUACAAAGGGCAGCGAAACCGCGAGGUCAAGCAAAUCCCAUAAAGUUGUUCUCAGUUCGGAUUGUAGUCUGCAACUCGACUACAUGAAGCUGGAAUCGCUAGUAAUCGUAGAUCAGCAUGCUACGGUGAAUACGUUCCCGGGUCU
rnacentral:rRNA from 1 species